UAAAUAGACAGCCUUAGUAGCUUAACAAAAGCA
rnacentral:tRNA from 1 species